UAAUACAUGUCCCUGCGUUUAUUAGUUUCGCACAGUCCGUCGCUGAGUCAUGGUAAACAGUUGAUCGACUCGACGUCCCGGAACAGUUUCCGCCCCAUCAGCUUCGAUGGUUGGGUAUUGGCCUACCAUUGCAACAACGGGUAACGAGGAAUUAGGGUUUGAUUUCGGAGAGGGAGCCUGAGAAACGGCUACCACAUCUACGGAUGGCAGCAGGCGCGCAAAUUACCCAAUGCAGACUCUGUGAGGUAGUGACGAGAAAUAAUAAAGCGGGACUUCUGUUUCGCUAUUAUAAUGAGGAAUAACCAAAGGUCAUUCCGAUUAGCAACUGAUGGGAAAGUCUGGUGCCAGCAGCCGCGGUAAUACCAGCGUCAGUAGCAUAUAUUAAAAUUGUUGCAGUUAAAACGUCCGUAGUCUGUACGUCGUCCCAAACUCACUGCAGUCUUCCGUUUUCUUCAUUGAAUGCGGUAGUUUCUGCAGUCACUCCCUUGAUCAAAUUAGGUUGUUCAAGGUAGACCAAGUCUUCAUAUUUUCACAUGGAAUUGGGUGAGGGAACUUAAGAGUUUAAGUUUCUCGUCUUAGGAUCAUCCGGGGUCAUUCGUACUCGUCCGCGAGAGGUGAAAUUCUUGGACCGGACGAAGACGACCAGCAGCGAAAGCAUCUGUCAGGGAUGUUUUCUGCGACAAAGGACGAAGGUCAGGGUAUCGAAGACGAUUAGAUACCGUCGUAGUCCUGACUGUAAACUAUGCCAACUUGGGUCUUGCUGGGCGAUGCUUUGUGAGACCCACACAGAAAUGAAAGUGUAUGGGUUCUGGGGGUAGUAUGGACACAAGUCUGAAACUUGAAGGAAUUGACGGAAGAGCACCAUAAGACGUGGAGCUUGCGGCUUAAUUUGACUCAACGCGGGAAAACUUACCAGGUCAAGACAUGGGCGUGAUUGACAGGCUAAUGACUUUUCUCGAUUCCAUGGAUGGUGGUGCAUGGUCGCACUUAGUUGGUGCAGUGAUUUGUCAGGUUUAUUCCGGUAACGAACGAGACCUCGGCCUUGUAAAUAGCUAUGCUGCUUACAGGGACAUUGGUGGCUACACCAAGGAAGCUCGAGGCAAUUGCAGAUCUGGAAUGCCCUUAGAUGUCCUGGGUCGCACGCGUGCUACAAUGACGCCACGAACGAGUUUGCGUGAUGAAAGUCACGCAUAAUCAGCAGUCGGCGUCUUAAGGGAUAGUCUCUUGUAACUGUGGGACUCCAACUAGGAAUGUCUCGUAAGCACAAGUCAACAUCUUGUGUUGAUUACGUCCCUGCUCUUUGUACACACCGCCCGUCGCUCCUACCGAUCGAGUGUUUAGGUGAAUUUGAUGGACGUAAGGAAGUCAAAUAAACCUGAGCACUUAGAGGAAGGAGAAGUCGUAACAAGGUUUCCGUAGGUGAACCUGCGGAAG
rnacentral:rRNA from 1 species